rnacentral:rRNA from 1 species
UGGGGAAUCUUGCGCAAUGGGCGAAAGCCUGACGCAGCGACGCCGCGUGUGGGAUGAAGGUCUUCGGAUUGUAAACCACUGUCGGGAGGGACGAAGCUCUGACGGUACCUCCAAAGGAAGCACCGGCUAACUCUGUGCCAGCAGCCGCGGUAAUACAGAGGGUGCGAGCGUUGUCCGGAAUCACUGGGCGUAAAGGGCGCGUAGGCGGCCUGGUAAGUAGGGGGUGAAAUCUCAUGGCUCAACUGUGAGGCUGCCUUCUAGACUGCUGGGCUUGAGCACGGUAGAGGCUGGUGGAAUUCCCGGUGUAGCGGUGGAAUGCGUAGAGAUCGGGAGGAACAUCGGUGGCGAAGGCGGCCAGCUGGGCCGUUACUGACGCUGAGGUGCGAAAGCUAGGGGAGCAAACGGGAUUAGAUACCCGAGUAGUCCCUGAGCGGGCUGGCAAGGCGCAU